GUGCAUUUAAUUAGGUAUCUAUUCCCAAAUUACGGAAUUGAUGCUCAGUAACUGUGCGCAAAUCAAUUGAAGCUGUGCUCAAAAUGAAUUUCGCUUUAUAAUGCAAACUCAAACGGUGCACUUUCAACAAC
rnacentral:snoRNA from 1 species